AGCGGUCUCCCAGAAAAACUUCCCUGCGCCGACUGCAGCAGACGCGGAGGACUUGAUUGGGCAAGGGCUGAAGUUUGCCCCACACAGACGGUCAGCUGAGAAGGACUGAGCCUUCAAAACCAUGGAGCUCUAUUUUUUUUUUUUUGCGGAAGCAAGAGCUGUUGGCCAUCUUCUACACUGCUGCCAUCCUCCUGCCUUCUCCCCUCUGGCUGGCGCUACAGAUCCCUGCACACAAAAAAACGUUCCAUAAAGUUUUGGAAGUGAAAACUCUGGGGAGGCACUAGCAAAAAUUGCCACAGAAGGUGAAGAUGAGCGGCAGAGGAGAGACUAAAAACAGCUGCUUGAAGAGACUGCGAUCCCAAUGGCAAGCUGUUUUGAUUGGGAUUUUGAUGUUGCUUUUUUGUGGAGUGACCAGUGUCAGAUAACUCAGAUAAAUAACCAGCAAAGUCUGGUAGAAGAUUUACAGCAUAUGGAAAAGAACACCAAAUUGCAAAUAGAAAACAAUCAGCUGAAGCUACUUCUGAGCUCCACUCAACUCCAGUAUGACCAACUGAAGCUGCUCAUAAAUGCAACAUGGUACAACUUCACCUUGUCUGCUAAAAAUAAACAGUUGAGCCUGCUUUUGAAGAACACUUUGCAAGAAAAAAGUCAGUUGCAAGUGGAGAACCAAGUGUUAAAGCAACUUCUUAACUCCACCUGUCAAAACUCAACACUUCUGGGAAAUGAGUAUGCAACACCAUACAACUUCACCUUGUUGUUUGCUGAAAAUACACAGCUGAGCCUGCUGUUGAAGAACACAUUACAAGGAAAUACACAGUUGAGCCUGCUGUUGAUGAACACAUUGCAAGAAAAAACUCAGUUGCAAGUGGAGAACCAAGUGUUACUUCUUAACUCCACCUGUCAAAACUCAACACUUCUGGGAAAUGAGUAUGACCAGCUGAAGCUGAUCAUAAAUGCAACACCAUACAACUUCACCUUGUUGUCUGCUGAAAAUACACAGCUGAGCCUGCUGUUGACGAACACGUUACAAGAAAAAAACAGUUUUAAGUGGAGAACAAAGAGCUGAACCUGCAUGGUUCUAAAGUCAACCCUGGAGGAGAACGGACAACUGAGUCUGCUCUCGAGCAAAAUAUCGCAAGAAAAAACCCAGUUGCAAGUGGAGAAAGAAGAGCUAAAGCAACUCCUGAAAUCCACCUAUCAAAACUUCACACUUCUGGGAAGUGAGUAUGGCCAACUGAAGCUGCUCAUAAAUGCAACACGGUACAACUUCACCUUGUUGUUUGCAGAAAAAACACAGCUGAGCCUGCUGUUGAAGAACACGUUGCAAGAAAAAACCCAGUUGCAAGUGGAGAAAAUGAGCUGAACCUGGUUAAAGUCAACCCUGGAGGAGAACGGACAACUGAAGCUGAGACUGAGUGAAUCAUUGGACAUCAUCACCCUGGCAUCUGCAGAAAGCAAUCAGUUGCGCCUGCUGUUAAACAAUGAACAAGAAACCUCCUUGCAGCUGCAGGAAAAAAAUAAACUCCAGCAUUCACUCCUUUAUUCCAACAAACUGUCCAACAUCUGGAAAUACUGUGAAAACGACACACUGCAGUGUUCACACUGCAUGUCUGGCUGGACCGAACACGGUUCACGUUGCUUCUUGCUAUCAAAAGAAAUUAAGAAGUGGGAAUUUGGUCGCAGUGAUUGUCUUGACAUGGGGGGUGACCUGGCUAUUGUUUUGAAUGCCGAAGACCAGACAUUCUUGACCAACAUGACUCUUCAAUAUGUAAUGGAGAACCCUACAGUAGAUUUCCAUUCAGCGUGGAUUGAGUUGCAGGACAUGGUGAAAGAGGGCGACUACAUCUGGAUCACUGGCGAGAGAAUUCAGAAAACUGUAAGUUAGUGGCUGCCCGGGCAGCCAAACAACGCCAUAGCAACCUGGGACAAAGAACAGGCAGGCCAGGACUGUAUUGCCAUUAUCCCACCGAAAGUCAUUGGAAAGGGUUCGUUGAGAUCCUGGGAUGACAUUGUUUGUGGUGGCGAACGGCACUACAUAUGUGAGACCAUGGCUUUAAUUUUGUCCUGACAGAUGAUGAAGCUGCAUGUUGUAGAUGUAUGGUCGUUAAGACGUGGAGGAAAAGCCACAUUUACUUGGGCGCCCAAAGAUGUUUCCUUUGUUUGUAUAUUAAUAAUUUCUGUA